rnacentral:rRNA from 1 species
UACGAAGGGGGCUAGCGUUGUUCGGAUUUACUGGGCGUAAAGCGCACGUAGGCGGAUUGUUAAGUCGGGGGUGAAAUCCUGGAGCUCAACUCCAGAAUUGCCUUCGAUACUGGCUUUCUAGAGGCUGGAAGAGGUUAGUGGAAUUCCCAGUGUAGAGGUGAAAUUCGUAGAUAUUCGGAAGAACACCAGUGGCGAAGGCGGCUCACUGGCCCGGUACUGACGCUGAGGUGCGAAAGCGUGGGGAGCAAACAGG